AGAGUUUGAUCAUGGCUCAGGAUGAACGCUAGCGGCAGGCCUAAUACAUGCAAGUCGAACGAUACCAGAGAGCUUGCUUUCUGGGAAAGUGGCGCACGGGUGCGUAACGCGUAUGCAACCUACCUUAAUCAGGGGGAUAGCCUCUCGAAGGAGAGAUUAACACCGCAUAAAAUCACAAGCUGGCAUCAGCAAAUGAUCAAAUAUUUAUAGGAUUAAGAUGGGCAUGCGUGACAUUAGUUUGUUGGUGAGGUAACGGCUCACCAAGACUACGAUGUCUAGGGGAUCUGAGAGGAUGACCCCCCACACUGGUACUGAGACACGGACCAGACUCCUACGGGAGGCAGCAGUAAGGAAUAUUGGUCAAUGGGGGCAACCCUGAACCAGCCAUGCCGCGUGCAGGAAGACGGCCCUACGGGUUGUAAACUGCUUUUAUACGGGAAUAAACCUCUCUACGUGUAGAGAGUUGAAUGUACUGUAAGAAUAAGGAUCGGCUAACUCCGUGCCAGCAGCCGCGGUAAUACGGAGGAUCCAAGCGUUAUCCGGAUUUAUUGGGUUUAAAGGGUGCGUAGGCGGCCUAUUAAGUCAGGGGUGAAAGACGGUGGCUCAACCAUCGCAGUGCCUUUGAUACUGAUAGGCUUGAUUACACUUGAGGUAGGCGGAAUGUGACAAGUAGCGGUGAAAUGCAUAGAUAUGUCACAGAACACCAAUUGCGAAGGCAGCUUACUAAGGCGUUAAUGACGCUGAGGCACGAAAGCGUGGGGAUCAAACAGGAUUAGAUACCCUGGUAGUCCACGCCCUAAACGAUGAAUACUCGAUGUUAGCGAUAUACAGUUAGCGUCAAAGCGAAAGCGUUAAGUAUUCCACCUGGGGAGUACGCCCGCAAGGGUGAAACUCAAAGGAAUUGACGG
rnacentral:rRNA from 1 species